CAGCAGGCCAAGUCAUGCCUCAGCAGAACUCUCAUUAGACAAACCCGUCGAUCACGGAGUGGAAUGCCCUGCUACCUGAGUUUUUAUCUCCCAUCAUCUCUCACCGUGGGAGUGGUGAGAGAGAGGUAAGAAGUCCAGCCACGACCGAGACACGCCUGUCUGCCUCGAUGGCAACCGUCGAGAAGUUGUGCACAUCCGUAUUGGCUCCUCCUGAUAAUGAUUCCACCUUGUAGCUCUGGGUCUUCCUGUUCUCACCCCUCUGAAUUAAUAUGUUGUGCAAAGGAGGCCU